AACGAACGCUGGCGGCAUGCCUAACACAUGCAAGUCGAACGAGACCUUCGGGUCUAGUGGCGCACGGGUGCGUAACGCGUGGGAAUCUGCCCUGGGGUGCGGAAUAACUCGGAGAAAUCCGUGCUAAUACCGCAUAAUGUCUUCGGACCAAAGAUUUAUCGCCCUGGGAUGUGCCCGCGUAGGAUUAGCUAGUUGGUGGGUAAAGGCCUACCAAGGCGACGAUCCUUAGCUGGUCUGAGAGGAUGAUCAGCCACACUGGGACUGAGACACGGCCCAGACUCCUACGGGAGGCAGCAGUGGGGAAUAUUGGACAAUGGGCGAAAGCCUGAUCCAGCAAUGCCGCGUGAGUGAUGAAGGCCCUAGGGUUGUAAAGCUCUUUUACCCGGGAUGAUAAUGACAGUACCGGGAGAAUAAGCUCCGGCUAACUCCGUGCCAGCAGCCGCGGUAAU
rnacentral:rRNA from 1 species